rnacentral:rRNA from 1 species
AGAGUUUCGAGUCCUGGCUACAGGACGACGCUGGCGGCGUGCCUAACACAUGCAAGUCGAGCGAGUGGAGUUCUUCGGAACAAAGCUAGCGGCGAACGGGUGAGUAACACGUGGGCAACCUACCUCAUAGAGGGGAAUAGCCUUCCGAAAGGGAGAUUAAUACCGCAUAAGAUUGUAGCUUCGCAUGAAGUAGCAAUUAAAGGAGUAAUCCGCUAUGAGAUGGGCCCGCGGCGCAUUAGCUAGUUGGUGAGGUAACGGCUCACCAAGGCGACGAUGCGUAGCCGACCUGAGAGGGUGAUCGGCCACAUUGGGACUGAGACACGGCCCAGACUCCUACGGGAGGCAGCAGUGGGGAAUAUUGCACAAUGGGGGGAAACCCUGAUGCAGCAACGCCGCGUGAGUGAUGACGGCCUUCGGGUUGUAAAGCUCUGUCUUCAGGGACGAUAAUGACGGUACCUGAGGAGGAAGCCACGGCUAACUACGUG